GACGAACGCUGGCGGCGUGCUUAACACAUGCAAGUCGAACGGAAAGGCCCUGCUUUUGUGGGGUGCUCGAGUGGCGAACGGGUGAGUAACACGUGAGUAACCUGCCCUUGACUUUGGGAUAACUUCAGGAAACUGGGGCUAAUACCGGAUAGGAGCUCCUGCUGCAUGGUGGGGGUUGGAAAGUUUCGGCGGUUGGGGAUGGACUCGCGGCUUAUCAGCUUGUUGGUGGGGUAGUGGCUUACCAAGGCUUUGACGGGUAGCCGGCCUGAGAGGGUGACCGGCCACAUUGGGACUGGAAUACGGCCCAGACUACUACGGGAGGCAGCAGUGGGGAAGGUAGUACAAGGGGCGGAAGCCUGAUGCAGCAAAGCCGCGUGGGGGAUGACGGCCUUCGGGUAGGAAUCCGCAUUCGCCUGUGACGGAGCGUGAGUGACGGUAAUGGGUAAAGAAGCACCGGCUAACUACGUG
rnacentral:rRNA from 1 species